UGAUCAAAUCAUGGUAGAACCCAGUUUAGCUACAACUGCUGAAGCACUGUUUUUAACUUUUUAUUUUAUUUUAUAUUUUUAGCUGGUGUAGCUAUGAUUUUGAUCUGAUGCUCUCCCACACACACCUACUAUGAGAGGUACUGAGUGAACUUUGUGAACUACUGAAGCUCCAAAAAAAAAAGCUCCGACGCUGAUGAACCAAUCUGGAUGACAAAAUAAUCUGAUAGCCAGAGAGAAGCUACUCUACCCUACUAGUAAGGACAAGAAGAGGAACUCAUCACAAUGCACAGAAACAUUGUCCCCUGCUUCUAUUCAACCUCUCCCCUGGUCAGUGGAAGCCAUCAAUUCCAGAAUGACCAGCAGAAGGUAUUAAUGAAGCAUAGACAGA